UCGUACAGUGGCUCAGCCUCAGCGUACUUGCCCUGGUGUUGAGUCGCACUGCAUUCCAGGGCAAGUACCUUGAGGCCGAGCGACUGUUCGA
rnacentral:pre_miRNA from 1 species